rnacentral:rRNA from 1 species
GAUCCUUCGGGAUAGUGGCGGACGGGUGAGUAACGCGUGGGAAUCUGCCCUCAGGAGGGGGAUAACGGCUGGAAACGGCCGCUAAUACCCCAUAUGCCGAGAGGUGAAAUGAAUUUCGCCUGAGGAUGAGCCCGCGUCUGAUUAGCUAGUUGGUGGGGUAAAGGCCUACCAAGGCAACGAUCAGUAGCUGGUCUGAGAGGAUGAUCAGCCACACUGGGACUGAGACACGGCCCAGACUCCUACGGGAGGCAGCAGUGGGGAAUUUUCCGCAAUGGGCGAAAGCCUGACGGAGCAACGCCGCGUGAGGGAUGAAGGCCUCUGGGCUGUAAACCUCUUUUCUCAAGGAAGAAGACCUGACGGUACUUGAGGAAUAAGCCACGGCUAAUUCCGUGCCAGCAGCCGCGGUAAUACGGGAGUGGCAAGCGUUAUCCGGAAUUAUUGGGCGUAAAGCGUCCGCAGGCGGCCUUGUAAGUCUGUUGUUAAAGCGUGGAGCUCAACUCCAUUUAAGCAAUGGAAACUACAAGGCUGGAGUGUGGUAGGGGCAGAGGGAAUUCCCGGUGUAGCGGUGAAAUGCGUAGAUAUCGGGAAGAACACCAGUGGCGAAGGCGCUCUGCUGGGCCAUAGCUGACGCUCAUGGACGAAAGCCAGGGGAGCGAAAGGGAUUAGAUACCCCUGUAGUCCUGGCCGUAAACGAUGAACACUAGGUGUCGGGGGAAUCGACCCCCUCGGUGUCGUAGCCAACGCGUUAAGUGUUCCGCCUGGGGAGUACGCACGCAAGUGUGAAACUCAAAGGAAUUGACGGGGGCCCGCACAAGCGGUGGAGUAUGUGGUUUAAUUCGAUGCAACGCGAAGAACCUUACCAGGGUUUGACAUCCUGCGAACCCCUGAGAAAUCGGGGGGUGCCUUCGGGAGCGCAGAGACAGGUGGUGCAUGGCUGUCGUCAGCUCGUGUCGUGAGAUGUUGGGUUAAGUCCCGCAACGAGCGCAACCCACGUCUUUAGUUGCCAGCAUUCAGUUGGGCACUCUAGAGAGACCGCCGGUGAUAAACCGGAGGAAGGUGUGGAUGACGUCAAGUCAUCAUGCCCCCUUACAUCCUGGGCUACACACGUACUACAAUGCUACGGACAAAGGGCAGCAAGCUCGCGAGAGUUAGCAAAUCCCAUAAACCGUGGCUCAGUUCAGAUCGUAGGCUGCAACUCGCCUACGUGAAGGAGGAAUCGCUAGUAAUCGCAGGUCAGCAUACUGCGGUGAAUACGUUCCCGGGCCUUGUACACACCGCCCGUCACACCAUGGAAGUUGGCCAUGCCCGAAGUCGUUACUCCAACCCUUGUGGAGGAGGACGCCGAAGGU